AUCGAACGCUGGCGGCAUGCCUUACACAUGCAAGUCGAACGGCAGCACGGGUGCUUGCACCUGUUGGCGAGUGGCGAACGGGUGAGUAAUACAUCGGAACAUUUCCUGUGGUGGUGGAUAGCCCUGCGAAAGCCGGAUUAAUACCGCAUACGAUCUACGGACUAAAGCGGGGGACCUUCAGACCUGGCGCUGUGGGGUUGGCCGGCGGCGUAUUAGCUUGUUGGUGGGGUAAAGGCCUACCAAGGCGUUGACGGGUAGCCGGGCUGAGAGGGUGACCGGCCAAGGUGGGACGGAGAUACGGCCCAGACUCCUACGGGAGGCAGAAGUGUGGAAUAUUGCACAAUGGGCGGAAGCCUGAUGCAGCAACGCCGCGUGCGGGAUGACGGCCGGCGGGUUGUAAACCGCUUUCGCCUGUGACGAAGCGUGAGUGACGGUAAUGGGUAAAGAAGCACCGGCUAACUACGUG
rnacentral:rRNA from 1 species